CAUGUAGGCGGAUUAAUAAGUUUGAAGUGAAAUCCUAUAGCUUAACUAUAGAACUGCUUUGAAAACUGUUAAUCUAGAAUGUGGGAGAGGUAGAUGGAAUUUCUGGUGUAGGGUAAAAUCCGUAGAGAUCAGAAGGAAUACCGAUUGCGGAGGCGAUCUACUGGAACAUUAUUGACGCUGAGAUGCGAAAGCGUGGGGAGCAAACA
rnacentral:rRNA from 1 species